UUAAAUAAUAAGAUUGAAUAUUAUCAGUACAUCUUAAUAACAAUAAAUUGCAAAUUAAAACCUUCUAGUAGAUAAUCACUCAUUAAAUGAGUAGAUUUAAGGUUUGUUAUCAGAUAACUAACAGAUUAGGCUAGGAUUGGAGCUGCAUAAAGUUAGUAACGAACACCCUAAUAAUUGUAAAAUCUGUUCUCAUAAUUCAGUUUCAUCCAUCGUGUUUGCAAUUAGAAAAAAAGGAGUAUAAACAUAUUUUUUUGCAGGGUGGGGAAAGUUAGCUAACGUUACAUAGCCUAUUACGUUAGUUCAAUAUAACGUGUGACAGCGGUGAGUGGAAGUGGUAAAAAUGAGGUUAUAAAGUUUGUUCCUUAUUACACGUAUUCAAUUACUUAAUAAUAAAAUGCACCCUAUUGAUAUACAUUUAGAGUGAAUUGAGUUUGCAAAAACAUGGGUGGAGUGUUUUUAGUCAUUGUGAUUCAUUUACUAUUACCUGUCUAUAUUAUAUAAUAAUACUGUAUUAUAUACUUAGACUUGUUAGUGUAUAAAAGUAACAUACUGUAAUAUUCUGUGGGUUCUGGUAGGUGGAGGAUUAGUGGUGCCACUGAAGUGUUCUGUGAUGGAGCAUCAGUGAUGAUGCAGGUCAGGAGAGCUGAGGGGACCUUUUUUUUUGAUAGCUGAAUUUUCAUUAUUUUUCUUAGUGCUGCCUUUGCAUUGCUUGAUCUUUAUUUUUCUUUUCUUGUCUCUUAAAUUUUUUUAAUAGACCCUGGUAACUGGCUGAUGGUUCACAGGAAUGCUGACUGGCUGCUGACUGACUUGCUGCAUGACUGGGCAGUGUCACCUGUCCCUGUCUCUCCUCUCUAGCCAUGUCCUUUUUCUUCACUCUCACUUUCCUUUCUCUGAGUGUCCUCGUUCUUUUUUCCUCAACCUUUGAAACUGAUAGAGGUCUAGGGGUGCAUCGUGGAGCAGGGCCCUCCUCUUUUUGACCACAGGACGAUGUACAAAGAUUGUGGGAAUAGCAUCUGGUCUCAGCCUACUCUUGAAUUUUUUGGUCAUGACAAAUUGCAUUGCCGCAAUUUGUCUGCAUACUGACUUCAGUUUAGUUUCCACACACACCUUUUUUUUUUUCUACCCACUUACAGUACAUAUCACAUGGUGGUUAAAUGCACAGUUAUAGGUAACACUGAUGACUCCCUGCAAUGUCUCACCAUGAGUCUCAGCUCCCUGGGUUUUGCAAGGCUUUGCUUGUUCCUUAUUUCUAGUAAAACAUUGUCAAUGUAAAAAAGUGCAAAUUAAUGUAAGUAUAAUUACCUAACAAUUUUUUGUUGUUGUAAUUUUUAUUUGUAUUUAGAUUGCUCCUGCUGACUUGAGCCAACCAUUAUUUUCUCCUCUCUAUGUCAGCUGGGAAGCCAUACAUUCGCACACCUUUCUCUGACUGAGUGGAGCAUCCCCAUGCAGCACAGCAAACCAUGGUGGAUACUAUGCAAGGACAACAUGAAAGAAAGGACACAUACAAAAUGCUUUUCAUGCUAUUAAAUUUAUUAGAAAUGUAUUCAUGAAUUGCUGUAAAUAGUUAAUUGUAUAAUUACAAUUUAAAAUAACUGUUUUCUAUUUUAAAAUGGAAUAUACUCCUGUGAUGCCAACUUGAAUUUUCAGCAUCAUUACUUUUGAAUGGCAGUGUACAUGUUUAUAUACGAGCAUGCUUAAGUUGUUUUAAACCUGAAUAUAUUGUGUACAUGAAUAAGUAUUGUAAGAAUUAUACUAGAUAUAAUAGGUAUAUUAUUUAUAAUACAUAAUUAUAUUACUAUAUGUAAAUGUAAGAAUUAUAAACAGUAAGCUUCAUUUUACAUUUAUUUAACAUGCUAAUUACUGCUGGUAACAGUUAAUUGACCCAUAGUGCGGUGCGAGCUGAAAAUCACCUGUCACCAGCCUGUCUCUGUACUACCUGAAAGUCAUCAAUAUGACAUGAGUUAACAUUAGAUCAGUGAAAAAAUGGACAAUAUGUAACGUAAAAAGGCAACAGCAACCCGUGUUUAUAAAACUUAACGUUAGCCUGAAAUACGUUUUUAAAAUAACGGUAAUUGAACACUAAUCCUCAAAUAUUACCCGAUUUGAUAUUUUAAAAACAACAUCGCUGUAACUACAUACUCAUGCUACAUACAUAUGUCAGUGUGUUGUAUAAACAUAUAAAAUAAAUGCAUUUAUUGACUCCU